UUGUCAUAUGCUUGUUUCAAGGACUAAGCCAUGCAAAUGUCAGAGUACUCUUGUUUUAAUAAGAGGGGUCUGUGUACGGCUCAUUAAACGGUUUAUAGUCUCCCCAACAAAGAAGGCAGUCAUGCCUUCCCAUGGGAUAUCUUUGCGAAAAGCAAAGCUAAUACCUGUAAGAAGAAUCGUUCGCUGUCAAACACCUAGGGGCAACCUGAAAGUGUGGCGAGCGAUGUGAUUGGCCGAAACAAAGAUAGACGCUCGAACAGAGCAGCUGCAAUUGUUGACGCAGGCCAAAGUCGCGAAAGCCCUUUUGGGCGACGUUGGACGAAUUUACCACCUAUCAGGUAUUGAAGGUAGUGUAGUGGACUACCUUGCCUUUGACGGGUAACGGGGGAUUGGGGUUCGAUUCCGGAGAGGGUGCCUGAGAGACGGCAACCAUGACUAUGGUCAGCAGCAGGCGCGCAAAUUGCCCAAUGCCAACAAAUGGCGAGGCAGCGACGAAAAAUAGCAUUCCCUUUUGGGAUUUGCAAUGGUCUGUACCCAAACAAACCGAAUAAAGCUAUU
rnacentral:rRNA from 1 species